rnacentral:rRNA from 1 species
GUUAAGCGACUAAGCGUACACGGUGGAUGCCCUGGCAGUCAGAGGCGAUGAAGGACGUGCUAAUCUGCGAUAAGCGUCGGUAAGGUGAUAUGAACCGUUAUAACCGGCGAUUUCCGAAUGGGGAAACCCAGUGUGUUUCGACACACUAUCAUUAACUGAAUCCAUAGGUUAAUGAGGCGAACCGGGGGAACUGAAACAUCUAAGUACCCCGAGGAAAAGAAAUCAACCGAGAUUCCCCCAGUAGCGGCGAGCGAACGGGGAGCAGCCCAGAGCCUGAAUCAGUGUGUGUGUUAGUGGAAGCGUCUGGAAAGGCGCGCGAUACAGGGUGACAGCCCCGUACACAAAAAUGCACAUGCUGUGAGCUCGAUGAGUAGGGCGGGACACGUGGUAUCCUGUCUGAAUAUGGGGGGACCAUCCUCCAAGGCUAAAUACUCCUGACUGACCGAUAGUGAACCAGUACCGUGAGGGAAAGGCGAAAAGAACCCCGGCGAGGGGAGUGAAAAAGAACCUGAAACCGUGUACGUACAAGCAGUGGGAGCACGCUUAGGCGUGUGACUGCGUACCUUUUGUAUAAUGGGUCAGCGACUUAUAUUCUGUAGCAAGGUUAACCGAAUAGGGGAGCCGAAGGGAAACCGAGUCUUAACUGGGCGUUAAGUUGCAGGGUAUAGACCCGAAACCCGGUGAUCUAGCCAUGGGCAGGUUGAAGGUUGGGUAACACUAACUGGAGGACCGAACCGACUAAUGUUGAAAAAUUAGCGGAUGACUUGUGGCUGGGGGUGAAAGGCCAAUCAAACCGGGAGAUAGCUGGUUCUCCCCGAAAGCUAUUUAGGUAGCGCCUCGUGAAUUCAUCUCCGGGGGUAGAGCACUGUUUCGGCAAGGGGGUCAUCCCGACUUACCAACCCGAUGCAAACUGCGAAUACCGGAGAAUGUUAUCACGGGAGACACACGGCGGGUGCUAACGUCCGUCGUGAAGAGGGAAACAACCCAGACCGCCAGCUAAGGUCCCAAAGUCAUGGUUAAGUGGGAAACGAUGUGGGAAGGCCCAGACAGCCAGGAUGUUGGCUUAGAAGCAGCCAUCAUUUAAAGAAAGCGUAAUAGCUCACUGGUCGAGUCGGCCUGCGCGGAAGAUGUAACGGGGCUAAACCAUGCACCGAAGCUGCGGCAGCGACGCUGAUGCGUUGUUGGGUAGGGGAGCGUUCUGUAAGCCUGCGAAGGUGUGCUGUGAGGCAUGCUGGAGGUAUCAGAAGUGCGAAUGCUGACAUAAGUAACGAUAAAGCGGGUGAAAAGCCCGCUCGCCGGAAGACCAAGGGUUCCUGUCCAACGUUAAUCGGGGCAGGGUGAGUCGACCCCUAAGGCGAGGCCGAAAGGCGUAGUCGAUGGGAAACAGGUUAAUAUUCCUGUACUUGGUGUUACUGCGAAGGGGGGACGGAGAAGGCUAUGUUGGCCGGGCGACGGUUGUCCCGGUUUAAGCGUGUAGGCUGGUUUUCCAGGCAAAUCCGGAAAAUCAAGGCUGAGGCGUGAUGACGAGGCACUACGGUGCUGAAGCAACAAAUGCCCUGCUUCCAGGAAAAGCCUCUAAGCAUCAGGUAACAUCAAAUCGUACCCCAAACCGACACAGGUGGUCAGGUAGAGAAUACCAAGGCGCUUGAGAGAACUCGGGUGAAGGAACUAGGCAAAAUGGUGCCGUAACUUCGGGAGAAGGCACGCUGAUAUGUAGGUGAAGCGACUUGCUCGUGGAGCUGAAAUCAGUCGAAGAUACCAGCUGGCUGCAACUGUUUAUUAAAAACACAGCACUGUGCAAACACGAAAGUGGACGUAUACGGUGUGACGCCUGCCCGGUGCCGGAAGGUUAAUUGAUGGGGUCAGCGCAAGCGAAGCUCUUGAUCGAAGCCCCGGUAAACGGCGGCCGUAACUAUAACGGUCCUAAGGUAGCGAAAUUCCUUGUCGGGUAAGUUCCGACCUGCACGAAUGGCGUAAUGAUGGCCAGGCUGUCUCCACCCGAGACUCAGUGAAAUUGAACUCGCUGUGAAGAUGCAGUGUACCCGCGGCAAGACGGAAAGACCCCGUGAACCUUUACUAUAGCUUGACACUGAACAUUGAGCCUUGAUGUGUAGGAUAGGUGGGAGGCUUUGAAGUGUGGACGCCAGUCUGCAUGGAGCCGACCUUGAAAUACCACCCUU